rnacentral:rRNA from 1 species
GAUGAACGCUGGCGGCGUGCCUAAUACAUGCAAGUCGAGCGAACAGAUGGGGAGCUUGCUCCUCUGACGUUAGCGGCGGACGGGUGAGUAACACGUGGAUAACCUACCUAUAAGACUGGGAUAACUUCGGGAAACCGGAGCUAAUACCGGAUAAUAUAUUGAACCGCAUGGUUCAAUAGUGAAAGACGGUUUUGCUGUCACUUAUAGAUGGAUCCGCGCCGCAUUAGCUAGUUGGUAAGGUAACGGCUUACCAAGGCAACGAUGCGUAGCCGACCUGAGAGGGUGAUCGGCCACACUGGAACGUAGACACGGUCCAGACGCCUACGGGAGGCAGCAGUAGGGAAUCUUCCGCAAUGGGCGAAAGCCUGACGGAGCAACGCCGCGUGAGUGAUGAAGGUCUUCGGAGCGUAAAACUCUGUUAUUAGGGAAGAACAAAUGUGUAAGUAACUAUGCACGUCUUGACGGUACCUAAUCAGAAAGCCACGGCUAACUACGUG